CAGUCGCCACGGUAAUACGAAGGGGGCUAGCGUUGUUCGGAUUUACUGGGCGUAAAGCGCACGUAGGCGGAUCGAUCAGUCAGGGGUGAAAUCCCAGAGCUCAACUCUGGAACUGCCUUUGAUACUGUCGAUCUGGAGUAUGGAAGAGGUGAGUGGAAUUCCGAGUGUAGAGGUGAAAUUCGUAGAUAUUCGGAGGAACACCAGUGGCGAAGGCGGCUCACUGGUCCAUUACUGACGCUGAGGUGCGAAAGCGUGGGGAGCAAACAGGAUUAGAUACCCCCGUAGUCCCUGUCUCUUAUAC
rnacentral:rRNA from 1 species